rnacentral:rRNA from 1 species
CUUGGUGCUCUAGACCUUAUGGAACCACUUAAUUUACAUUCCGAACUUGCAAGUUAAACAUAAGGUAGAAAAAUAUACUUGAAAAGAGAUUUUCUGGAAAAACUUUUUUAGUGCCUAGACCUAUUCUA